rnacentral:ncRNA from 1 species
GCUAAAGCAUUGAGAGACAAUAGUAACUUCGACGAUUUCUCAGAGAGUCGGCGGUUGGUGAAAGCCGGUAAGUUGAUUGAAGUGAAUCCAGUCUUGAGUGAGAAAUGGAAACCAUUAAGGCGUAAUUUUCUCCGUUGUCCAGCGUUAAUGGAGUUGAGCGGAUCAGUAGCUAAACGUAAUCUAUUAGCGCUGAUAAUGAGGGUGGCAUCGCGGUGUUCAAUCGUCCCUGUA